rnacentral:rRNA from 1 species
GACGAACGCUGGCGGCGUGCUUAACACAUGCAAGUCGAACGGUGGACCCCUUCGGGGGGGAUCAGUGGCGAACGGGUGAGUAACACGUGAGCAACCUGCCCCUGACUCUGGGAUAACCCCGGGAAACCGGAGCUAAUACCGGAUAUGACACGCUCGGGCAUCCGAUGCGUGUGGAAAGAUUUAUCGGUUGGGGAUGGGCUCGCGGCCUAUCAGCUUGUUGGUGGGGUAAAGGCCUACCAAGGCGAGGAUCCGUAGCUGGUCUGAGAGGAUGACCAGCCAGACGUGGGACUGGGACACGGCCCAGACUCCUACGGGAGGCAGCAGUUAGGAAUUUUGGGCGAAUGGCCGCAAGGCUGACCCAGCAACGCCG